rnacentral:rRNA from 1 species
AACGAACGCUGGCGGCAGGCCUAACACAUGCAAGUCGAGCGAAGCCUUCGGGCUUAGCGGCGGACGGGUGAGUAACGCGUGGGAACGUGCCCUUUGGUACGGAAUAGCCCCGGGAAACUGGGAGUAAUACCGUAUGUGGUCGAGAGACGAAAGAUUUAUCGCCAAAGGAUCGGCCCGCGUUGGAUUAGGUAGUUGGUGGGGUAAUGGCCUACCAAGCCGACGAUCCAUAGCUGGUUUGAGAGGAUGAUCAGCCACACUGGGACUGAGACACGGCCCAGACUCCUACGGGAGGCAGCAGUGGGGAAUCUUAGACAAUGGGGGAAACCCUGAUCCAGCCAUGCCGCGUGACCGAUGAAGGCCUUAGGGUUGUAAAGGUCUUUCAGUGGGGAAGAUAAUGACUGUACCCACAGAAGAAGCCCCGGCUAACUCCGUGCCAUCCGCCGCGGUAACAC